GAAAAUCAGAGCAAAAUAUGGGCUCCCUUUGGGUUUCUUUUCGGAGGACGCAGACAACCGUAUGGCUACAGAUAAAGAUGGAAAGAAGUCUGCUGACAUGAAGAAAGGUCUCAUUUCUUGUCAUCGUUGUUUGAUAUACUUGGGUGAUCUUGCUCGCUACAAAGGGUUAUAUGGGGAAGGCGAUUCAAAAAAUCGGGAGUAUGCUGCAGCUUCAAGUUACUACCUGCAAGCAUCGUCACUUUGGCCAUCAAGUGGCAAUCCUCAUCAUCAGCUUGCUAUAUUAGCUUCA
rnacentral:misc_RNA from 1 species